GACGAACGCUGGCGGCGUGCCUAAUACAUGCAAGUUGAGCGCUGAAGGUUGGUACUUGUACCAACUGGAUGAGCAGCGAACGGGUGAGUAACGCGUGGGGAAUCUGCCUUUGAGCGGGGGACAACAUUUUGAAACGAAUGCUAAUACCGCAUAAAAACUUUAAACACAAGUUUUAAGUUUGAAAGAUGCAAUUGCAUCACUCAAAGAUGAUCCCGCGUUGUAUUAGCUAGUUGGUGAGGUAAAGGCUCACCAAGGCGAUGAUACAUAGCCGACCUGAGAAGGUGAUCGGCCACAAUGGGACUGAGACACGGCCCAAAAUCCUACGGGAGGCAGCAGUAGGGAAUCUUCGGCAAUGGACGAAAGUCUGACCAAGCAACGACGCGUGAGUGAAGAAGGUGUUCGGAUCGUAAAACUCUGUUGGUAGAGAAGAACGUUGGUGAGAGUGGAAAGCUCAUCAAGUGACGGUAACUACCCAGAAAGGGACGGCUAACUACGUG
rnacentral:rRNA from 1 species